rnacentral:lncRNA from 1 species
GCUUUCGUGAGUUUAUUCUUCUUGAAAUAGUGACAUUUUAAUUUUACUUGGGAACCUAGAGUUCAACGACUACACAUACAAGGUUUGGACUUGCUUAUUCUUUGGAAAUUCAAGUUUCAUAUUUCACCCCGGCAACCUGUUUUUGUAAUGACCUUGUAAGCCAAUUUUCAACACGAAGUUUGCAAAUUUGACGUUUCAGCCAUUUUAGCCUGUAUUUUACACUGCAAUGUUAAAAGCCUCUCGCUUCGAUUUUUAAAAUAGCUCAGGAACCUGUAUUUUUGCAACAACAGUCAUUAUGUUUCGUUUAAAUGGUGUAUAUUGUUGUGUAUAUUCAUUUUCUGCCCCGGCAACCUGUCUAUCACUUAAAUCAAAAUUAAAACAGACAUUUUUUAAAAAUUCCCUAUCAUUUUAAUGUAAUUUCCGUGACCCGUAUCCGAUUUCUUUAGUAUAAUAUUCAAAUAAGCAAAGUGGCGUUGAUUUCUGGAUAUGCGUUAUUCCAUGUGCAUUGAUAGACUAUUUAUCAAAUGACAGCCAAGGUUAUUCUUUUCAGCCAAGGUUAUACUUUUUC